AUGGUUCUAUAUUGUUUUGGAGAGCCAAACACGACCUGAAGAAGGUAGUGGGGGAGAGGGAGGAGUCUGAGAGGUAUUAAAUGAGCAGGCUGCUUUCCCAGAAGCCUCUCACUUACAGGAUCUGAAAUGACUGCUUUUGGGGAGAAGUGAUAUUCAUACUGAUGGGAAGAGGGCCGUGUAG